rnacentral:rRNA from 1 species
AUGGAGGUAUCAAAAAGCUUCCUCGUGGGCUAUUUAGAUUCUCUCUUGACGCUAAAUUACUCUGAGGAAGAGCGGAUGAAGGGGAAACAGGUCAUUCCUUACGAUCAGGUUAUGUUGCCUCGCGAACGAGCGGAACCAGUGGCGAAUGCUCUCUGGACGGUGCCAGUGGAAGGUUGGGCAAAACUAAAUACUGAUGGAUCCUGGUCGGCCGAUGGGGGUGCAGGUGCUGGGAUGGUCCUUCGAGACAGCACGGGCCAGAUCAUCUUUACAUCAUGCAGGGUGCUUUACUCUUGCAGGAACGCCCUGGAAGCAGAGCUCAGUGCGUGUAUGGAGGGAUUAUCAGUUGCAAUUCAGAGAACGGAGCUACCUAUACAUAUUGAGAUGGAUUCCUUACAAGCUGUGAGGAUGAUUAACGAGGGGGCCACUGAUAGAUCGUGGUGGAGCGUCGGCAUGACCAACCCGGGCGCUGGCUCCCCUUCCCAAGUGAAAUUGUCCCUCCGUUUCUUUAGUUGCCCCCCCCCUCCCCCGCCCCAAAGUUUGGUGUACGCUCCGCCGCUGCUUCCCAUGCCGAUGUUCAUAUUGCUGUAA